rnacentral:tRNA from 1 species
GAUUAUAAAGCAUAGCAAUUCAUUGUUACUGAAUAGAAGUUUUUAGUUUUAAGUUG